GAGGGCCUUUGGGGUCUUUCUUUCAUAGCACAGGGCUCCCUGGAAACUGAAACAGGCUUGAACAGGCAGGAGCACGCACUUCCUGAAGGUUGAUGGCUGGGAAAGUCCCUCAGGUGAUGGGAAUUCACACUAAAUGGCUCCUUGCCUUGACUGCCCAACACGGAGCAGCCCAAAGAGAGGAAAGUUCUUAGAUCCUCUGAUAGAGGCUGCCUCCUAAACACUGAAUGUUUUCUCCCCUCAACUCAUUACAGUAUUUGGAAGAUUAGGAAAUCCAAUUAAAACAAGAUCCCACAUGGCACCCUCUUAAUGUGCCUGAGCUUGGUAUCAGGUAGGCCUGAGGAGAUGGGAUCUAAAUUCUAUUCUGUUUGCUUUCUUAUGCAAACAUUGCUCCUUGAUUUCGUGGACCAAAAUAUCUUUUGAGUAGGCCUCCAGCCUGGAAAACGGUGUGCUGCUAAAUGGAGGUGAUUUCUAGUGUCUCGUCUGUUCACCUUGGCCAAUGAGGAGAAAAUACCCGCGCGCGCGCACACACACACACACACACACACACACACACACACACACACGAGUAAUUCGAGUUCCACUUCAGUAUCUCUUUAAACCACACGGAGUUUAAAACCCACCCCUCCUCCUUGAUUUGGAUUCUGGAACAGAAUUGUUUGGCUUUAUCACUUGGAAGCUAGUUUUAGGGUGUUUAUACCACGUUAUUAGCUUGCGUUAAAGGCUGACACUUCUCUCGGGCAAGGCAACAAUGUGUGUUCAAAGCCUCCACUGUGCUGUGCUGAGGAAGAUGUAGAAGAGGGGAGAGGGUCACAGCGUGGUUCCACAGGUGUACCCUGGAACCCACAUGCUGGCCUUACCCGUGAAGACAAGGAUGGACACCUGAGCCAAACUGAGCCAGUUGGAUUUUCUCCAGCCAGUCUGUGGGGCCGAUCCUGAGGCUGUGAGCUUGGGGCCAGCUUCUACUGUGAGGUAGAGAAACACAGAGAGCCUGCCUGUGGAGACACAGAAGAAUGAAGCAGCCUGCUAAGGAACCGAGACAUGGCAUGACUCAAUAAAAAAGAUAAAGAAUCCAUCCAUCCCCAGCACUUCUCUUACGGAAAUAAUAGUUUAGUACAGAAAAUGAGUCACGUACAGAU